AUUUAAUAUCAUUACUAUUUGGAUAGUUGUAUUUUUUUAAAAUUAACUUUUCAAACUUUUUUAGCUAUAUAUAAAAAAUAAUUUUUAAUUUAAUAAUUACGCAUGUAUUAAGUUAGAAAGGGAAUGUCACGAUACUUAGUUUACUUGUCCAUGACCAAUUUGUUAGAAAAAAAAGAUAAUUUGAGAUAAAACUAAUAAACAUUUCCACAAAUAGAAAGACAAUGAAUUUUUGGAUCAAUUUAGAAUUUGAAGAUUCAUUUUGAAUUUGAUUGUAUAAAUAGUUUUUAAUGAUAUCACUAUCACUUUUCUAUGACUCAUCACUUUGGUAGUAUUUAAUAAACCUAUAUAAUUGUUUAAAUUUACCAAAAUGGGUAAUGGGUGAAAACUUGUAGAGUAAUUAUAACUUAAAAUAGGAUAAAAUUGACAAAAUACUUCAUAUGAGGACUACCAAAACCUCACAUUAUCUCUUAUAUAUAGUAGUAAUAUAGUAGUAAUGUAACAACCACGAGGCAAAAAUCAUUGACUGCUGGACAGAACAAGGCUGGUACCUGUCUUUCAGAAGGCCCCUAAAUGAUCGGGAAAUUGAAAGAGUUGCCAAACUGUUGGAGGAAGCGGGGAAGUUUGCAGGCACCAACACUACCCCUGAUGCAGUAAGAUGGUCUCACAGUAAGGAUGGGACAUUUUCAGUCGGCAGGGCAUAUAAAGAGGAGUGCAUCCUACAAAGCAGCAACAAUCAGAGUAAUCAAUCUCUAUGGAGAAAGAUUUGGAGGAACUCAGCACCAAUAAAAGUCAAAUGCGUCGCUUGUUUGCUAGAAAGGCUUGCUUGACACAUGAAGUAUUGAGGAAGAAGGGAAAGAUCAUACUCCCCUGGUGCUCAUUAUGUGGGAAGACACGUGAAACUUUCACGACUCAAAUUUGGUCCAUGUUCCUUAACAUAUCAGAAUUGAAGUGGAAUAUGCCAGAACAUACUGCAGAUUUAUUGAGCUGCUGAAUCAGAAGAGGAGGAAGUGAGAGACAAAAGAUUUGGUGGAAUCUAAUCCCACACUGCAUCCUGGUGGACACUGGAAGGAGAGAAAUAGUAGGAAUUUUGAAGAUAUAUCCAAUUCCUUUCAAAAGGUCCUCAGCAUAUGCUUAAAUGCUGAAGGAUAAAAUGUUACCAUUUCUCCAGAAAAAACAAAAAAGGAUAGAUGCGUGCAAGACGUGUGAAUUUAGUUCCUUCACCUCUCCCAAUUUGCUGCUCAUGAAAAGGAGAUCCUGUGUGGGCAAUUAGUUCAGAAACAGUCAAUGAUCUGGUUGGUCUGUCCCUCAAUUUUUUCUUCAUCCUGCCUCUUCUGAAUGCUGAGUAGGGGGCGUCCACUUGAUAGAGGCACCAGUGCUUCAUCCAAUGGCUGAGGGACUCUUUAAUUUUGUAAUUGGCUGGACAUUCAUGUUUGCUCCUUUACUGUUCAGUGAUCGUAAGAGAGACAGAUUCAAGGGAUCACUAGAUCUUCUAUGGGGCUUUCAGAUGUUCCUCACAAACAGUAGGCACUUUUUUCAAAUACUUACUCUUGAUUGUUGUGGAUAAACAGUGUCCUCCAACCCAAUGGAACUCUCACAUUUUUAAUUCCAUACAUGGCUAUUCGUCUAAAUAAGGUCGACUUAGAGUAUCCUCCAAGAGCAACCUCUCAAUUGGGUUCGAUCAUGACUCGUAGUGCAUCUAUUGUUGGACUGGUUGGUGGAGCUGCCUGUUUGCUAUCGACAUUUUGGGCCAUUUAUGGGAGAGGAGAUGGUGAUUUUGGGAAUAUAUCUGAUAGGUGGGAGUUCUUGCUGAGUUAUUUAUCCUCUGAAAGACUUGCUUAUGCUUUCAUCUGGGAUAUUUGUCUCUACAUUAUUUUCCAACCUUGGUUGAUAGGAGUCAACUUGCAAAACAUUCAGGAAGAUAAGGUUGGCAUAGUGAGAUAUCUCAAAUAUGUUCCAGUUGUUGGCUUAGUUGCGUACUGCCUUUGUUUGGAUCUUAAAGAUGAAUAUUAGAUAAUAUGUUUUGAUGGCUAAAACCAUGUAUUUAAUACCUAUAAUUUUCAUGUUAAGAUGAAUCCUCUCUUGUUUCUCGCA